GAGAAAGUUACUGUGUGUGUGUGUGUGUGUGUGUGUGUGUGUGUGUGUCCCAUCUGGUCCCAGGAAGCCCAAAGGCGUUUCACGCUCCACCGCCCUCCGUAAAUACGCUUCGAUAAAGAGAAGAGGAGAGACGGAGGGAUGAGUUUCGAAGCUGGUCGUUAUCACCUCGGCCCCUGAGCCAGCAUCAGCAUCUCUAAGCCACGACGUGUCAGAGACCAGGGCUCACCCCCAGCUCCAGGAAGCUCCAGAACCUUCUGUGUUCUCGGGUGAGUGACAGUGUUAGGGAGAGGGAGAGAGAAGGAAAAUUUAAGAAUGUAGGGUUAUUACGGUGGCCCUGCUAUUCUAGAACUUACAGUAAUUUUCAUACUUUCAUCACCAAAGACGGUUCAUGUUCUUGCUCACGAAUCAGUGACCAUUAAAGAAGCCGUUUGUAACUUUUUUGUAAAAAUACUGUUUCUUUAUUCAAAUAACAUUACAAACAGCACCUUUAAAUAAAUCACUAAACAAAAAAAUAAAGGCUAGUUUUUAUACAGACUACAGAAUACGAUUUAUUUUCAGCUUUCGGUAUCUAACAGCUACACUUGCUAAGCUAAAACACGAACGCCAGUUUUAAAGAGCUGUGUGCGUUAAAGGACCGAAGUUUCUUAAUUUUAUCUCUCAUUUUCACAAAUCGUGUGUUUUUGUAUUUUCUUUUUUUAAAGAUAUUCUCGCAUUUAUGUCCUUGAGAGACGCUGAGACGCUUUUCAUGGACACGAUUUCAGUUCCUUCCACUUUCCUGCUCGGUUUCUGUAACACCUCCACUUUCUCGUUCAUCUCUCAUGCAAAUUGGCCUGUAGGACGAACACACACACACACACACACACACACACACUCCUCCCCCUUCCCUUGACCUUGAGCUCCUGUUACUGCGCUUGGCCUCAAAGGUGGAAGAAGAGAGCGAGGGAACAAAAAGCCCCCACCCUCCCACACACACAUACACACGUCCGGUGCUCCAUGCAUAAAGCUCUGUAGCCCUAUUAAUUACUUCGCUUUUGUGUGCCUCUAUCGGUCCGAUCUAAACGGAUUAGCAGGCCAGAGGGUGGUCUCUGAUAUGCUUGUGCUCGGCGGCCGAGAGUCAGCGGGUCACAGGACACACACACACACACACACACACACACACACA